rnacentral:lncRNA from 1 species
ACAAGUAAACAAAUCCCUGUCAAAGGUGUAGUAGAGGUGAGAGUGGCGACGGGAGGGACAAAAUCGUGUGUGCACAUUUAUUUUCCAUCAGGACAACAUUUAAUACUCAAUCAAGGGUUAGCUGAGUCUCGCGACUUCGAGGUGUUACUCAAGGAGUGCCAAGAGGGACGAGUGGAUUCAUUAACAGUCAAAAGCAGAAAUGGAACUGAACUUCAAAAUCCUUGGUCACUGAAACCAUAAAUGUUAUCUGAGCUACGCGCACAAAAUGAGCAAUAACCACAGAAGACAAAACAGUCGUGGCCGAUCAACAGUCUUAAAGGUUGUGAUCCUAGGGGAUGGAGGUGUUGGAAAAUCCUGCCUCAUGAAUCGUUUCGUCACAGACCGAUUCGACGAGCAUUCCUUCCAUACCAUUGGUGUGGAAUUUCUCAACAAGGAAAUUGAAUUGUCGGGUGAGACCUACACA